AACGCACGAGACCUGCGGACCUGCGGAGGGAUCAUUACCGAGUUUACAACUCCCAAACCCCUGUGAACAUACCACUCGUUGCCUCGGCGGAUCACCGCGCCCCGUGAAACGGGCCGGCCCGCCAGAGGACCUAAACUCAAAUGUUUUAUUGUAUCUUCUGAGUAAAAACACAAAUAAAUCAAAACUUUUAACAAUGGAUCUCU
rnacentral:misc_RNA from 1 species